GGCUCAGAACGAACGCUGGCGGCAGGCUUAACACAUGCAAGUCGAGCGCCCCGCAAGGGGAGCGGCAGACGGGUGAGUAACGCGUGGGAAUCUACCGUGCCCUACGGAAUAGCUCCGGGAAACUGGAAUUAAUACCGUAUACGCCCUACGGGGGAAAGAUUUAUCGGGGUAUGAUGAGCCCGCGUUGGAUUAGCUAGUUGGUGGGGUAAAGGCCUACCAAGGCGACGAUCCAUAGCUGGU
rnacentral:rRNA from 1 species